UUCGAACCUGUGAAAUUCAUCACUGUUGUUGAUUCACCAGUACCUCCUGUCCAGCAACCUGUUCCACCUGCAGACCUACCUGAAGUUCCUGAUCAACCCCCAUCCUCUGCUGCAGAAGAGGAACAGGAGCUCCCAGUCGUCACAGAGGAACCAAAGGAAUUUCAACCUGUGGACAGAGAGGCGGUAAACAUCAGUUCAAAAACUAAUGAUUCUCCAGGAGAUGCUGCUGGAGAUCCUGCUGCUGAGGGAGGUCCUGUUCCUGAACCUGUCACUCCAGAGCCCUCCACCAAUGAUAUGGAACCAGAAGAGGACUUAAUUGUUCAAACAGAAUCAUCAAGUCCCGAAACAGAAUCAUCAAGUCCCGAAACAGAACCAUCGAGUCCUGAGGGAGAACCAUCUUUGCGGAGGUCAACCCGAGCAAGAAGACCACCAGAACGUUUACAGUACUCCCAACUCGGUCACCCGCUGUUGAAGAGUAUCCAGUUGUUGUUUCAUGGAUUGACCACUGCAUUUACACAUGCUCUUGAAGGGAUUGAGGAUGAUGAACACAUGACUGUUCCUGGUAUUAUCCAGCCAGCCAUCCAGACUCAACCUGGUCCAUGUACGGGGACGUGCAUGGGAUCAGGGGGGGAACAUGUAACCCACGUGACCGCCACGCCCCAACCACCUUCCCUUUAAGCCGUCCCUUUAACAGCUGGGAACCUCAUGUGUAUUUCCGGGUUUUCCACUGUGCUGCUGCUCACUGUUGGUUGUGGCGUCGGUUGUUAACAAAACAAUCUCAAAUCUCCAAAUCGACUCAUCGCUGAACAAAUUCAUUCCUAAAAUUCGAGGAUCUGCGGUGAGUUAAGUACCAUCUGAACUUAACGUUGUAUCAGCCAUACUAGCGCCGCUAAUAUAUCCGCCGUAAUACUCACCAGGUUGGGCUUUGUUGAUGCCUGAUUUACCUUCUGAUGAGAACAAGUAACAUCCACUUCCUCAGACAAUCCGUUACUCGACGGUCAGGUUUUUUUUCCUCCCCCUUCAACGGAGGAUGGCGAGCUACCCACACACCACCUGGUGGUAGGAAAAGAGACACUUUCCACACAUGAAACAAAAUAAA